rnacentral:rRNA from 1 species
GCUAUACAUGCAAGUCGAGCGAACAGACAAGGAGCUUGCUCCUUUGACGUUAGCGGCGGACGGGUGAGUAACACGUGGGUAACCUACCUAUAAGACUGGGAUAACUUCGGGAAACCGGAGCUAAUACCGGAUAAUAUUUCGAACCGCAUGGUUCGAUAGUGAAAGAUGGUUUUGCUAUCACUUAUAGAUGGACCCGCGCCGUAUUAGCUAGUUGGUAAGGUAACGGCUUACCAAGGCGACGAUACGUAGCCGACCUGAGAGGGUGAUCGGCCACACUGGAACUGAGACACGGUCCAGACUCCUACGGGAGGCAGCAGUAGGGAAUCUUCCGCAAUGGGCGAAAGCCUGACGGAGCAACGCCGCGUGAGUGAUGAAGGUCUUCGGAUCGUAAAACUCUGUUAUUAGGGAAGAACAUACGUGUAAGUAACUAUGCACGUCUUGACGGUACCUAAUCAGAAAGCCACGGCUAACUACGUGCCAGCAGCGGCCGGGUAAUAAA